rnacentral:rRNA from 1 species
CAUGCAAGUCGAGCGGACAGAUGGGAGCUUGCUCCCUGAUGUUAGCGGCGGACGGGUGAGUAACACGUGGGUAACCUGCCUGUAAGACUGGGAUAACUCCGGGAAACCGGGGCUAAUACCGGAUGGUUGUUUGAACCGCAUGGUUCAGACAUAAAAGGUGGCUUCGGCUACCACUUACAGAUGGACCCGCGGCGCAUUAGCUAGUUGGUGAGGUAACGGCUCACCAAGGCGACGAUGCGUAGCCGACCUGAGAGGGUGAUCGGCCACACUGGGACUGAGACACGGCCCAGACUCCUACGGGAGGCAGCAGUAGGGAAUCUUCCGCAAUGGACGAAAGUCUGACGGAGCAACGCCGCGUGAGUGAUGAAGGUUUUCGGAUCGUAAAGCUCUGUUGUUAGGGAAGAACAAGUGCCGUUCAAAUAGGGCGGCACCUUGACGGUACCUAACCAGAAAGCCACGGCUAACUACGUGCCAGCAGCCGCGGUAAUACGUAGGUGGCAAGCGUUGUCCGGAAUUAUUGGGCGUAAAGGGCUCGCAGGCGGUUUCUUAAGUCUGAUGUGAAAGCCCCCGGCUCAACCGGGGAGGGUCAUUGGAAACUGGGGAACUUGAGUGCAGAAGAGGAGAGUGGAAUUCCACGUGUAGCGGUGAAAUGCGUAGAGAUGUGGAGGAACACCAGUGGCGAAGGCGACUCUCUGGUCUGUAACUGACGCUGAGGAGCGAAAGCGUGGGGAGCGAACAGGAUUAGAUACCCUGGUAGUCCACGCCGUAAACGAUGAGUGCUAAGUGUUAGGGGGUUUCCGCCCCUUAGUGCUGCAGCUAACGCAUUAAGCACUCCGCCUGGGGAGUACGGUCGCAAGACUGAAACUCAAAGGAAUUGACGGGGGCCCGCACAAGCGGGUGG